UGAAGCUGGAAUCCCUAGUAAUCGCUUGUCACUAUCGAGCGGUGAAUACGUCCCUGCUCCUUGCACACACCGCCUACCAAGCCACCCAAGUGAGGUCUUAGUGAGGCAGCGCCGAUGGCGUUUUCGAACUAAGGUUUCGCGAGGUGGGCUAAGGUAUAACAAGGUAUCCGUAGGGGAACCUGCGGAUAGAUCACCUCGAUAAUAAAAAGUGUGCGUGGCCAUAUUCGGUACCUGCACAAAUCCUCAAGACUACAAAUUUCUUAUUUUUUCUUUUCAUGCUUAAUCAGCGUGAGCGCUCAAUGCAUAAGGAAAACCUAAUCGUCAACCAGCGUUUUUUAAAUAUCAAUUUAAUACAUAAGCAGUGAAAAGCAUGACUGCACAGCCUAACCGCAAAGAUGC
rnacentral:rRNA from 1 species